rnacentral:ncRNA from 1 species
CCUUAUAGAGAGUGACGGAGGGACAGGCCCUGUGAAGUCCGGCAACCUGCAAUAUUUGCAAGGUGCCAAAUCCCACAGCAGUUUUGCUGAAAGAUAAGG